rnacentral:rRNA from 1 species
CAAAGAUUAAGCCAUGCAUGUCUAAGUACAAGCCUCAGUAAGGUGAAACCGCGAAUGGCUCAUUAAAUCACACCUAAUCUACUAGAAAGUUAAACAGUUACUUGGAUAACUGAGCUAAUUGUUGAGCUAAUACAUGCGAAAAUCCCCGACUCACGGAGGGGAGCUUUUAUUAGAUCAAAACCAGACGGCCUCGGCCGUAAUCCCUGGUGACUCUGAAUAACUUUGGGCUGAUCGUAUUGCCUUGUGCAGGCGACGUUUCUUUCGAAGGUGUGCCCUAUCAACUGUCGACUGUGAUAUAGACGCUCACAGUGGUUUUGACGGGUAACGGGGAAUCAGGGUUCG